rnacentral:rRNA from 1 species
CUCAAAAAAUAGAUCUCAUUCGGACUGUAGGCUGCAACUCGCCUACACGAAGUUGGAAUUGCUAGUAAUCGUGGAUCAGCAUGCCACGGUGAAUACGUUCCCGGGUCUUGUACACACCGCCCGUCACACCAUGGGAGUCGGAAAUGCCCGAAGUCAGUGGCCCAACCGCAAGGAGGGAGCUGCCGAAGGCAGGUCCGGUGACUGGGGUGAAGUCGUAACAAGGUACC